CCUACGGGAGGCAGCAGUGAGGAAUAUUGGUCAAUGGGCGUAAGCCUGAACCAGCCAAGUCGCGUGAGGGAUGAAGGUUCUAUGGAUUGUAAACCUCUUUUAUAAGGGAAUAAAGUGCGGGACGUGUCCCGUUUUGUAUGUACCUUAUGAAUAAGGAUCGGCUAACUCCGUGCCAGCAGCCGCGGUAAUACGGAGGAUCCGAGCGUUAUCCGGAUUUAUUGGGUUUAAAGGGUGCGUAGGUGGCCUGUUAAGUCAGCGGUGAAAGUUUGUGGCUCAACCAUAGAAUUGCCGUUGAAACUGGGAGGCUUGAGUAUGGUUGAGGCAGGCGGAAUGCGUGGUGUAGCGGUGAAAUGCUUAGAUAUCACGCAGAACCCCGAUUGCGAAGGCAGCCUGCCAAGCCAUGACUGACGCUGAUGCACGAAAGCGUGGGGAUCAAACAGGAUUAGAUACCCGAGUAGUC
rnacentral:rRNA from 1 species